rnacentral:rRNA from 1 species
UACGAAGGGGGCUAGCGUUGCUCGGAUUGACUGGGCGUAAAGGGCGCGUAGGCGGUUCGUACAGUCAGACGUGAAAUUCCUGGGCUCAACCUGGGGGCUGCGUUUGAUACGUGCGGACUUGAGUGCGGAAGAGGGUCGUGGAAUUCCCAGUGUAGAGGUGAAAUUCGUAGAUAUUGGGAAGAACACCGGUGGCGAAGGCGGCUCGCUGGGCAGUGGCUGACGCUGAGGCGCGACAGCGUGGGGAGCAAACAGG